rnacentral:rRNA from 1 species
AUUGAACGCUGGCGGCAGGCUUAACACAUGCAAGUCGAGCGGUAACAGAGAGAAGCUUGCUUCUCUGCUGACGAGCGGCGGACGGGUGAGUAAUGCCUAGGAAUCUGCCUAGUAGUGGGGGAUAACUUGCCGAAAGGUAAGCUAAUACCGCAUACGUCCUACGGGAGAAAGGAGGGGACCUUCGGGCCUUUCGCUAUUGAUGAGCCUAGGUCGGAUUAGUUAGUUGGUGAGGUAAUGGCUCACCAAGACCGCGAUCCGUAACUGGUCUGAGAGGAUGAUCAGUCACACUGGAACUGAGACACGGUCCAGACUGCUACGGGAGGCAGCAGUGGGGAAUAUUGGACAAUGGGGGGAACCCUGAUCCAGCCAUGCCGCGUGUGUGAAGAAGGUCUUAGGAUUGUAAAGCACUUUAAGUUGGGAGGAAGAGCAGUUAACUAAUAUUUGACUGUUUUGACGUUACCGACAGAAUAAGCACCGGCUAACUUCGUGCCAGCAGCCGCGGUAA